AUUGAACGCUGGCGGCAGGCCUAACACAUGCAAGUCGAGUGACCGGCGCACGUGUGAGUUACACGUAUCCCACCUGCCCUUUACUCUGGGAUAGCCUUUCGCAAGAAAGAUUAAUACCCGAUAUAAAGGAUGGGGAUGCGUUCCAUUAGGUUGUUGGUGAGGUACCGGCUCACCAAGCCUUCGAUGGAUAGGGGUUCUGAGAGGAAGGACCCCCAGAUUGGAACUGAGACACAGUCCAAACGCCUACGGGAGGAAGCAGUGAGGAAUAGUGGUCAAUGGGCGCUAGCCUGAACCAGCCACGUAGAGUGAAGGAGGAAGGCUUAGGGGUCGUAAACUACGUUUAUAUAAGAAGAUGUAUUAGAUGAAUAAGGAUCGGCUAACUCCGUGCCAGCAGCCGCGGUAAUUC
rnacentral:rRNA from 1 species